CGGACCAAUGAUCCCAAAUUGUACACGCGCAAACCUUUUUAUCCAGAGAGAAUAGAAAAGAACCACCUAUUCAUUAGGUUGUUUACAAAUCCCCCUUUUUCUCAUAUUUACAAGCCUUUGCUUUUCUUUUUCUUUUUGAAUUUUUUUUUUCUUCUUUUUCCCCUGACAGAGACAAGAGAGUUUGUGUUGUGUGUGUCCACUAGCCAUACCAACACAUCUUUCUAAGUUUUAACCAAAAUUCCCAAAACCAAAGUCACUUGAAUAGAAAGCCCCUUUUACUCUCUCAAUCAGUACUCCCAUUCUCAAUAUUUCAAAGAAAAUGCAGUCCAUCUUAAACCACCAAACCAGCUUCGGCCUUCCUCUCUGCCUCUCAGGGAUCACACAUCCUCUCACUCUUUCUCAAGAGAUGGCAGAUCAUGAACGCAGAAGGGAGGCCAUGAAAAGGCAAAAAUCACAAGCCAGAGAGGGUCUGCAGGCAAAUCAAGGGGUGGGUGUUGAGAGAAAUCAUGAGGGAGAAAUUGAAGUUGAUGGAGAUCUGGCAUGUAUUGUUCAUGAUCUGUCAUACAUGUGUUUGGCUUCUACAGCAAAAGCUGCAUAGCCUUUACAUACUUAAUUGCUUUUAUGGACUUCCUUUAAUUAUCUCUCUAUUGUACAUCAAUUUAUGUUGGAUUUCUCACUAUUGGAUAUCUAUUGUAGAUUUCUUUAAAUUAUUCAUGAUCUUGACUAGGGGUGUUCUUGUU